rnacentral:rRNA from 1 species
AUUGAACGCUGGCGGCAUGCUUUACACAUGCAAGUCGAACGGCAGCGCGGGCUUCGGCCUGGCGGCGAGUGGCGGACGGGUGAGUAAUGCAUCGGAACGUGGCCAGCAGCGGGGGAGAGCCCGGCGAAAGCGGGAUUAAUACGGCAUACGACCUGAGGGUGAAAGCGGGGGACCGAAAGGGCUCGGGCCAUUGGAGGGGCCGAUGUCGGAUUAGCUAGUUGGUGGGGUAAAGGCUUACCAAGGCGACGAUCCGUAGCUGGUCUGAGAGGACGACCAGCCACACUGGGACUGAGACACGGCCCAGACUCCUACGGGAGGCAGCAGUGGGGAAUGUUGGACAAUGGGGGCAACCCUGAUCCAGCCAUGCCGCGUGCGGGAAGAAGGCCUUCGGGUUGUAAACCGCUUUUGUUCGGGAAGAAAUCCUCUGGGCUAAUACCCCGGGGGGAUGACGGUACCGGAAGAAUAAGCACCGGCUAACUACGUG